rnacentral:rRNA from 1 species
UAGAGUUUGAUCCUGGCUCCGAAUCAACGCUGGCGGCGUGCCUAACACAUGCAAGUCGAACGCGAAAGGGGACGCAAUCCCUGAGUAGAGUGGCAAACGGGUGAGUAACACGUGGGUGACCUGCCUUCGAGUGGGGGAUAACGUCCCGAAAGGGACGCUAAUACCGCAUGACAUCCUGCUUUUGGAAAAGCGGAGAUCAAAGCUGGGGAUCGCAAGACCUGGCGCUUGAAGAGGGGCCCGCGCCUGAUUAGCUCGUUGGUGGGGUAACGGCCUACCAAGGCUACGAUCAGUAUCCGGCCUGAGAGGGCGGACGGACACACUGGGACUGAGACACGGCCCAGACUCCUACGGGAGGCAGCAGUGGGGAAUUGUUCGCAAUGGGCGCAAGCCUGACGACGCAACGCCGCGUGGAGGACGAAGAUCUUCGGGUCGUAAACUCCUGUCGAGCGGGAAGAACACUGCCGGGUGAAUAACUGGCGGGCUGACGGUACCGCUAAAGGAAGCC